UACGGAGGGUGCAAGCGUUAAUCGGAAUUACUGGGCGUAAAGCGCACGCAGGUGGCUGAGUCAGUCGAUUGUGAAAGCCCUGGGCUUAACCUGGGAAUUGCAGUCGAUACUACUCAGCUAGAGUAUGGGAGAGGGCAGUGGAAUUCCCGGUGUAGCGGUGAAAUGCGUAGAUAUCGGGAGGAACAUCAGUGGCGAAGGCGGCGAUCUGGGAAGAUACUGACGCUGAGGUGCGAAAGCGUGGGGAGCAAACAGG
rnacentral:rRNA from 1 species